rnacentral:rRNA from 1 species
ACUACCCGCUGAGUUUAAUCAUAUCAAUACC